UACGUAGGGAGCGAGUGCUGUCCGGAUUUAUUGAUCGUAGAGAGCUCGUAGGCGCUUCUUCAAGUCGGCCGUGAGAGUUCAGGGCUCAACCCUGAAAUGGCGAUCGAUACUGUUGUGACUAGUAUAGGGUAGAGGUGAGUGUAAUUCCGAGUGUGGCGGGGGAGUGCGUACAUAUUCGGAGGAACACCGAUUGUGAGGGGAGCUCACUGGCUUGCUAUCGACGCUGAGGAGCGAACGCUAGGGGAGCAAACAGGAUUAGAUACCCUGGUAGACCUAGCUGUAAACGAUGGAUACUAGACGUAGGAACUGGAUUGACGGUUUCCGAGUCGUAGCUAACGCGUUAAGUAUCCCGCCUGGGGAGUACGGUCGCAAGACUAAAACUCAAAGGAAUUGUCGGGCCACCGCACAAGCGGCGGAGCAUGCGGCUUAAUUCGAUGAUACCCGUAGAACCUUACCUGGACUUGACAUAUAGGGUCUAGCUAUAGAGAUAUAGUGUGCAUUAGCGCCCUAUACAGGUGGUGCAUGGCUGUCGUCAGCUCGUGUCCUGAGAUGUUGGGCUCAGUCCCGCAACGAGCGCAACCCCUCUCCUAUGCUGCCAGCAUUUAGCUGGGGACUCAUAGGAGACUCCCGGUGAUAAACCGGAGGAAGGUGGGGACGACGUCAAGUCCUCAUGCCCCUUACGUCCAGGGCUGCCCGCAUGCUACAACGGCAAGUACAACGAGUCGCAAUACCGCGAGGUGGAGCAAAUCUCUUAAAGCCAGUUUCAGUUCGGAUAGGAGUCUGCAACUCGACUCCUUGAAGUUGGAGUCGCUAGUAAUCGCAAAUCAGCAAAGCUGCGGUGAAUACGUUCUCGGGGUU
rnacentral:rRNA from 1 species